AUUUGACCUCAGCUCAGGCGUGAUUACCCGCUGAAUUUAAGCAUAUAACUAAGCGGAGGAAAAGAAACUAACGAGGAUUCCCCCAGUAACGGCGAGUGAACGGGGAAAAGCCCAGCGCUGAAUCCCGUGGCCACUGGUCACCGGGAACUGUAGCGUAUAGGUGCGACUGUUCGGUUGUCUUGCUCACCCGAAGUCCCCUUGAGUGGGGCCAUUGUCCAUGGAAGGUGCUAGACCUGUACGGGUGGUGAGGCUGCUGAUGCUGGUCGCUCCUUGGAGUCGAGUUGCCUGAGAACGCAGCUCAAAGAGGGUGGUAAACCUCAUCUAAGGCUAAAUAUGACCACGAGACCGAUAGCAAACAAGUACCGUGAGGGAAAGUUGCAAAGAACUUUGAAGAGAGAGUUCAAGAGGGCGUGAAACCGCUGAGAAGGAAACGGAUAGAGUUGACGAAACCUGGUGGCAUUCAGCCGGGCGACGAUGCGGUACCCGCGUCUGUGUACCUCGUCUGAGGGCACAGAUGUGUGCUUGUUGGCUGCAUUCGUUUUCCUGCCCGGUGCAUUUGCCAUCGGUAUGCGCCGAGAAGUUCGCUGUGGUGCGCUGAAGCUCGCUGGAGAGGACCGUGCCCUCUGGGUGCGGAAACCGUUCGGCGGUGCCCAGGUGUAUCCGUGGUGAGCCUGCCGUAUGCAGACACUGCCCUGCUGUGUGCGCAACUCCCACCUGUCUGGUUGGUGUGGCUAUUUGAGCGGUCGCAUGCGACUUGCUUAUAGCUCCGAUGCUGGCCGAUAUGGUGUGGUUCGGUUGCUUAGGGUGUGUGCGUCUCGGUGUAAAAGUCGACCACCUAUCCGACCCGUCUUGAAACACGGACCAAGGAGUUUAGCAUAUGCGCGAGUCAUUGGGUGGUAAACCUAAAGGCGCAAUGAAAGUAAAGGUCACCGUUCCUGGGUGGCUGAUAUGGGAUCCGUACGGUUGCCGUCAAACAACAAUCCGUGCGGCGCACCAUAGCCCCAUCCCAGUUGCUUGCAACGGGGUGGAGGUAGAGCGCAUACGCUGAGACCCGAAAGAUGGUGAACUAUGCCUGAGCAGGAUGAAGCCAGAGGAAACUCUGGUGGAGGUCCGAAGCGGUUCUGACGUGCAAAUCGAUCGUCUGACUUGGGUAUAGGGGCGAAAGACUAAUCGAACUAUCUAGUAGCUGGUUUCCUCUGAAGUUUCCCCCAGGAUAGCUGGAGCUCAUCAAGAGCAGUUAUAUUCCGUAAAGCGAAUGAUUAGAGGAAUUGGGGACGAAACGACCUCAACCUAUUCUCAAACUUUUAAUGGGUAUGACGUCCCGCUUGCUUGACUGAAGCGUGGACCUUUGAAUGCGAGCUCCAAGUGGGCCAUUUUUGGUAAGCAGAACUGGCGCUGUGGGAUGAACCAAACGUUGGGUUAAAGUGCCUAACUUCCCGCUCAUGAGACCCCAUGAAAGGUGUUGGUUGAUAUAGACAGCAGGACGGUGGCCAUGGAAGUCGGAAUCCGCUAAGGAGUGUGUAACAACUCACCUGCCGAAUCAACUAGCCCUGAAAAUGGAUGGCGCUUGAGCGGGGGACUUAUACCCGACCGUUGCUUGGCUUGUGCGAUUUGCUUGCAAACACGCUCGCCUGGCCGCAACGAGUAAGAGGAUCGCAGUGGUUAGCGUCGAAGGCUUUGGGCGUGGGCCCAGCUGGAGCUUCCACUGGUGCAGAUCUUGGUGGUAGUAGCAAAUAUUCAAGUGAGAUCCUUGAAGACUGAAGUGGAGAAGGGUUCCACGUGAACAGCAGUUGAAUGUGGGUCAGUCGGUCCUAAGACACUGGCUAGUGCCCUUGCGAUCAAGAGACGGAGAUUUCAUCCAUCUUUGGUUGUCGAAAGGGAAAUGGGUUAAUAUUCCCAUACCUGGACACGGAGAUAAGCGCUCAUUGCGAGUGUUUAGCGCGGUAACGCAAACGAACCCAGAGACGUUGAAUGAAGCCCGGGCCAGAGUUCUCUUUUCUGGUUUAGGAACGGACUCCCUGGAAUCGGCUCAGCCGGAGAUAGGGACGUUGUUUCCGUAAAGCGCCGCGGUUCCUGCGGCGUCCCGUGCGCUUUCGCUCGACCCGUGAAAAUCUGGGGGAGGCUAAUUGAAUCUCGUGCCAGACCGUACCCAUAUCCGCAGCAGGUCUCCAAGGUGAAAAGCCUCUAGUCGAUAGACUAAUGUAGGUAAAGGAAGUCGGCAAAUUAGAUCCGUAACUUCGGGAAAAGGAUUGGCUCUAAGGACUGGGCCUGUCGGGCUGUAGCGUGAAGCGAGUGCGGCUUGAUCCGUGCAGGGCGGCUUGUGGCCUCUUCGCGGGGGCUGCGGGCUGCUCGGCUAGCGGUUGAGCUGCCUUGUGGACCGUUACAGCUGCGUGCCACGUCUCCUUCACGGGGCGUUGGUACCUCGGCUGGCGCUAAACAGUCAACUUAGAACUGGCACGGACUCGGGGAAUCCGACUGUCUAAUUAAAACAGAGGAGACAGAUGGCCCUUGCGGGCGUUGACUGUCUCUGAUUUCUGCCCAGUGCUCUGAAUGUAAAAGUGAAGAAAUUCAACCAAGCGCGGGUAAACGGCGGGAGUAACUAUGACUCUCUUAAGGUAGCCAAAUGCCUCGUCAUCCAAUUAGUGACGCGCAUGAAUGGAUUAACGAGAUUCCCACUGUCNUAACACCUUAGCGGACACUGUAUCAAAACAUGCACCUGAACGCCUAGACAACAUGAUUAUUCCACCAAUUGAGGAGGAGUCGAACACCCAAACUCCUACACCUAUAAGACAAACAAGACUUAGAACGCAAGCUGGAAAUAACAAUCCUAUCAAUAAUGAACUAGCACAAAACACUCUAAAUCGAAAUUUAAAUGAAACUCAAACUCAAACACAAAAUAAUAACCUCACGCAAGAACCCAGUAGAAGACUGGGAAGAGAAAACCGGCGUUUCAGACCUCCCAAGCGGGAGAAUGAAACAUGGCCGGAAUAUAGACGACGUUUACAACGAGAAUGCCCAACUAGAUUGGGAUUCUCAACAAAAUGGACAAGGAGCAGCAGAGCUUUGGCCCUUGCGAGGGCCAGAGAAAGAAGAACUAACUCUGAAGACUGAAGAAUAGGCUCCCGAUGAUACCGGGGUCAAGUU
rnacentral:rRNA from 1 species